ACCCCACACAGGACCUACCCGCACGGGGCCGUUUCACCCGAGUCGGGUAGCUUGGGAAUGCUGCUCUAAUUGGUGGUAAAUCUCAUCAAAGGCUAAAUAGUGGCGGGAGACCGAUAGCGAACAAGUACCGUGAGGGAAAGAUGACAAGCACUUUGAAAAGAGGGUGAAAAGCACCUGAAACCGUCACGGGGGAAGCGGAUUGCGUGAGUGUUGGGUGCACGUGCUCAGCAUCUCUCUUUUGGGGGGGUGUGUAUUCACGUGCGCCUGCGCCGGCGUGGCUGCGUGCUGGUGGAUUUUGCACCGGCGCGUGGUGAGGGCUCCUGCUUGUCAGUGAGGACGCCGGCGAAAUGACGCAAUACGACCCGUCUUGAAACACGGACCAAGGAGUCUAGCGCGGCUGCGAGUCGAAGGGUGGCAAACCCAAGGGCGCAGUGAAAGCGAAUUUUGUGCAGAACGAAAACAGUUUGGGGCGGCAUAGCGACGUUGUCAACAUGUCCGACCCGGAGCAUGCGCGCUGGGACCCGAAAGAUGGUGAACUAUGCCGGAGUAGGGCAAAGCCAGAGGAAACUCUGGUGGAGGCUCGUAGCGAUGCUGACGUGCAAAUCGCUCGUCAAACUUGGGUAUAGGGGCGAAAGACUAAUCGAACCAUCUAGUAGCUGGUUCCCUCCGAAGUUUCUCUCAGGAUAGCGGGCCGACGAAGUGUUGUUUUGUGCGGUAAAGCGAAUGAUUAGCGCACUCGGGGGCGCAAUGCCUCUGGGCGAUUCUCAAACUUUCAAUGCGCAAGGGCGUCGCUGCUUG
rnacentral:rRNA from 1 species